rnacentral:rRNA from 1 species
CUCAGGACGAACGCUGGCGGCGUGCCUAACACAUGCAUGUCGAGCGGGGACAGGGAAGCUUGCUUUUCUGUUCUAGCGGCGGACGGGUGAGUAACGCGUGAGCAACCUGCCUUAUACUGGGGAAUAACGCAUCGAAAGAUGUGCUAAUACCGCGUAAGACCACACUACCGCAUGGCAGAGGGGUCAAAGGAGCAAUCCGGUGUAAGAUGGGCUCGCGUCCGAUUAGCUAGUUGGUGAGAUAACGGCCCACCAAGGCGACGAUCGGUAGCCGACCUGAGAGGGUGAUCGGCCACAUUGGAACUGAGACACGGUCCAGACUCCUACGGGAGGCAGCAGUGGGGAAUAUUGGGCAAUGGGCGAAAGCCUGACCCAGCGACGCCGCGUGAGGGAAGAAGGUCUUCGGAUUGUAAACCUUAAACAACAGGGACGAAGAAAAUGACGGUACCUGUUAGGAAGCCACGGCUAACUACGUGCCAGCAGCCGCGGUAAUACGUAGGUGGCAAGCGUUAUCCGGAUUUACUGGGUGUAAAGGGUGUGUAGGCGGGAUGGCAAGUCAGAUGUGAAAACUAUGGGCUCAACCCAUAGCCUGCAUUUGAAACUGUCGUUCUUGAGUGUCGGAGAGGUAAAUGGAAUUCCCGGUGUAGCGGUGAAAUGCGUAGAUAUCGGGGAGGAAACACCCGGUGGCGAAGGCGGUUUACUGGACGACAACUGACGCUGAGACACGAAAGUGUGGGGAGCAAACAGGAUUAGAUACCCUGGUAGUCCACACCGUAAACGAUGAAUGCUAGGUGUAGGGGCGAUAGCCUCUGUGCCGCAGCUAACGCAAUAAGCAUUCCACCUGGGGAGUACGGCCGCAAGGUUGAAACUCAAAGGAAUUGACGGGAGCCCGCACAAGCAGUGGAGUAUGUGGUUUAAUUCGACGCAACGCGAAGAACCUUACCAGGUCUUGACAUCCAAGGAAGUCGGCGUAAUGGCUGAUGUGCCCUUCGGGGAAUCUUGAGACAGGUGGUGCAUGGUUGUCGUCAGCUCGUGUCGUGAGAUGUUGGGUUAAGUCCCGCAACGAGCGCAACCCUUACGGUCAGUUGCUACGCAGGAGCACUCUGGCCGGACUGCCGUUGACAAAACGGAGGAAGGCGGGGAUGACGUCAAAUCAUCAUGCCCCUUAUGAUCUGGGCUACACACGUACUACAAUGGCGAAUACAAAGGGAAGCAAUACCGCGAGGUGGAGCAAAUCCCAUAAAAAUCGUCCCAGUUCAGAUUGCAGGCUGCAACCCGCCUGCAUGAAGUUGGAAUAAAGAGUAAUCGCGAAUCAGCAUGUCGCGGUGAAUAC